UACAAUUCUAAACUGUAAAGAAUUUACCGAAAUUGCAAUAUCAACUAUCAGUGACUAGUUGCACCAGUAGAUGAAAUGUACCAAUGUCGCUCGAUAAAAAUACAAAACUGAUGUUUUGAUUCUUUUAUCGCUGAGAAAAAGCAUCACUUGUCAAGAUGCUUUCAAUUUUAAUCUUGUGCUACCUAAUCCCUGUUUAAGCUGCCCUCUAUUCUCCGACUGUGAGUCCAAAACCGAACUUGUAGUCUUUCUUUUUGUGAUCGACCUCAGCUGAAAGAAUGAAAUUAAGACCCAUG
rnacentral:misc_RNA from 1 species